rnacentral:rRNA from 1 species
UACGAGAGGUGCAAGCGUUGUUCGGAAUGACUGGGCGUAAAGCGCACGGUAGGCGGGUUCGCAAGUAGGAUGUGAAAGCCCCAGGCUCAACCUGGGAAUGGCACCCUAAACUACGGACCUUGAAUGCUUGAGAGGUUGGCGGAAUUCCAGGUGUAGGAGUGAAAUCCGUAGAUAUCUGGAGGAACACCGAUGGCGAAGGCAGGUCUCUGGGCAUUAACUGACGCUGAGGAGCGAAAGCAUGGGGAGCGAACAGG